rnacentral:rRNA from 1 species
GUGAGGUAACGGCCCACCAAGGCGACGACGGGUAGCCGGCCUGAGAGGGUGACCGGCCACACUGGGACUGAGACACGGCCCAGACUCCUACGGGAGGCAGCAGUGGGGAAUAUUGCACAAUGGGCGAAAGCCUGAUGCAACAACGCCGCGUGAGGGACGACGGCCUUCGGGUUGUAAACCUCUUUUAGCAGGGAAGAAGCGAAAGUGACGGUACCUGCAGAAAAAGCACCGGCUAACUACGUGCCAGCAGCCGCGGUAAUACGUAGGGUGCAGGCGUUGUCCGGAAUUAUUGGGCGUAAAGAGCUCGUAGGCGGUUUGUCGCGUCUGCUGUGAAAAUCCGAGGCUCAACCUCGGACCUGCAGUGGGUACGGGCAAACUAGAGUGCGGUAGGGGAGAUUGGAAUUCCUGGUGUAGCGGUGGAAUGCGCAGAUAUCAGGAGGAACACCAAUGGCGAAGGCAGAUCUCUGGGCCGUAACUGACGCUGAGGAGCGAAAGCGUGGGGAGCGAACAGGAUUAGAUACCCUGGUAGUCCACGCCGUAAACGGUGGGAACUAGAUGUGGGGUCCGUUCCACGGAUUCCGUGUCGCAGCUAACGCAUUAAGUU